ensembl:lncRNA
CGGGCACUGAUGCUGCAGUAUCACUCAGCCGGGGCCAGGCGGAGCCUCGAAAAGAAGCCUCGACAAGACGCGGGCCUGUAUCCCUGGACAUCAGCACCAAGUCCGGCUGCAGUCACGGGCCAGCGAGAGGGAGAAAGCACCCCGAGGCCCCCAGCGCCAUCUCACCUCUGCUAUCAACAUGUGGGAAGACGUGUCAUAGUCUGUGAAGCGCUGAGUCUCACGGGACCCAGACGUGGAAUAUGCAUCUGAGUGUGACCAGGAGGACCUCGAAGCAUGAGAUAGAGAGGAGACGCAUACAGGGACAUGUGUCCCAUCCUUGCUGAGGCUUGUUGGUGACAUCUGAUCACAGCAAUGCCCCCUGAUCAGCACUCAGAGCCUCAGAGCCAACGGCCUCACUCUAGAGCCUGCUUCCUGCCACGAGCCAACUCUGCCCUCUCUGUUUUCUUCUCAGGAGGAGGAGUCUGGGGUUCCAGAGAGGACCUUGGAGGCCCGCCAUGCAACACCCUCCUCUGUUCUCAGGCCACCUGCCAACAGGGAAACUGAAGCACAGAACAAGUUUUUACAGCCCCGUGCUCCCUGGAGAACCCCAGUGCUUUCUCUAGGACGUAUCAGUCAGACGGCAGAGGAAACAUCCAAAAUGCUGGGAACAUCCUGUGUCACGGUGUCUCCCUGGCCCCCAGAGAAGGAAACGGAAGUGACACUUCCCAGCUUAGAGGUUUUGCAGCUGCUGUUCCUUCUGCCCAGAAUCCUUUUCCACGUGAUCAUCACACAGUGGACCAGUGAGUCAGGCAUGUGAAGCACUUAGGAGUCUGGCUGCCCUCAGGGACCACCCUGGAGGGACUGUGUAGGGAGAGGGGUGGCCAGGUAGCUCCAGCUACUAGGAGGAGAAAAGCCUUCGAGAUGAGCCCAGGCCCAGCUCCCUGCAGUCGCGAGAGAAAGCCUGAGUGAGAACUUCAGAGAGAGCCCAGGUACCCCCAGACUCGUGAGCCACGGCUUUGGAACAGUUUGUUACUCAGCAUCAGCUCACUGCAGCAGACCUGCAAGGCCGACCCCACUGUGCCUUCUGGGCAGAGGGCAUCUGAUGCCAACAAGCUACCGUGAGGAGCUCCCACCCCAGCUGAGUCUCUUAGCAAAAGCCCAGGGACCGACUCACCUGGGCUGCAUCUCAGGAAAGCACCGAGGCCAGGGCUGUGGGGAGGGUGACCACACUGACUGGGGGUCAUGUGACUUUGCAGACAGAGACAACAAGGGAGGGAAAUGGCAGCCCAUGUCUCCACCCAAAUCCACAAAAGCUUCUAAGAAGGAAACCAAGCAAGGAGGCCAGGAAGUCAUGCCUGAGUUCUGCGGGUGUCGGGAAUUUUCACAUGGGUUUCCCUUCCAUCCUCCCCACCGCCUCGUGAUUUAGGUGACAUCAACGGCCCUCUAGAGAGGAGAUCAGAGACACAGAGCAAGGUGUCCAUGGGCACAGCCACAGAGCUCGGAUUCGGACCCGAUUUGUCUGAUUCCAACUUUCUCCAUCAGUAAGCAAAGCACGUGAGAGGAAGGAGAGGGGAGAUUGUCCUCCGCGCUGGGACCCACAACCACAGAACUACGCAAGGCAAACACAACAGAGAUUAGAAUGCUGGGGUUUGUUCUCAUGGGCCUCAAUAUCCGUUCUUCCACUGAAGAGAGGACCUCGUUCACAGCUGUGUCCCCGACAUCUGGAACAAGACCUGGCCCCGAGCAGAUGUGCAACCAGUAUCUGCCCAAAUGAAGGAAUGCACAGGCCACAGGCCCAGCAGUUGAUCUUGAGUUCUAAAGGAAGGGGCUGGGCCAGACAAUGCCCGUCCCCGCCUCCGCACUGAGGGGCUUCCUGACCAGUGACAUCACCCUGCCUUCCCCCGCAGCCUCUGCCUCCUCAGCACUGUCUUAGGAAGGUCUGCUGCAGAACGCCGUUGAGAUCAGGGUGCUGUCUGCAUGCGAUGCAAGGCCCUGCAUCCAGGAAUGCUAAUCCCAGGUCCCGGAUAAGAAGCCGCACCUGGACGUGAGGUGUGACAAGCAGACAGACUUUUCCCGGGGGAGUGGGUGUCCAUCUUUAAACACUUAAUGUACCUUAUAUUCAUUGUAAAACAGCAAACACAGACUGAAUGGACAAGGUCGGGAGACCAUGGUGGUGGGGGAACACGUGAAUUCCAUGGAAUCCCAACACCCAGAAAUGACACACGUUUUCAACAUGCCAGUGUGAUUUCAGAUGUUUUGAGCAACAAACGCUUUUUGAACUUUUUACUGAAUAUGAACACAGGGGAAAACUCACCCUCAUAAGUGUACACCGACUCAAGGGACAUGAGUCUGAGAAAACUCCAGGAGGUGGUGAAGGACAGGGAAGCCUGGCGUGCCACAGUCCAUGCGGUCACAGUCAGACACGACUGAGAGACUGAACAACACCACCACCAAAAGUGUAGAGUUCAGUGACCUUUGCCACGUCCAGGGGAGUAUGAACACACAAGGUGGAGUGAGCUAAUCCUGUUCUCUUUGUCCCACGUUCUCAUGAACGUACUUUCCUUCUGUCCCCCCACAACAAGCCUGCUCCUGGUCACAUCAGCCCACCUCCUUCACAGGGCAACCCCCCAACCAGAAGAGCCCAGGGGCAUCGCAGGGGCUCCCGCAGGCAGUCAAGGUUCUCCACAGUGUGCAAGACCAGUGUGUGUCUCCCAGCCGCGCUGCACGCCCCCCCAGAGCAGCACCCCCAGAACAGAUCCUCCCCACAUCCAGCUCUGCUCUGCAGCCCCAGCCCCAGCCCUGAGGUCCCACCCUGGAACAUUGAGGCUCCUCCCGAGAGAUUCUAGACAGGUAACAUGGCUCUCCUGAGACCAUGGGGGCCCCAGCACAGCGCCUGUCAGUUCCCCCAUGGGCUCUGGGAGAAAACAGGAACUUCCCCCAGCCCACUCGCUCCCACCAAGACUUCCCUGAGG